rnacentral:rRNA from 1 species
UACGCGGUAGGCAGCAGCUGGGGAAUAUUGGGNAAUGGGGGAAACCCAUGACCCAGACAACGCCGCGUGAGGGAAGAAGGUUUUCGGAUCGUAAACCUCUGUCCUUGGUGAAGAGGAANAGACGGUANCCAAGGAGGAAGCCCCGGCUAACUACGUGCCAGCAGCCGCGGUAAUAAGGGCNAAUU